rnacentral:tRNA from 1 species
GCGUCUGUGGUCUAAUGGCUAUGACUCCGGCCUUCCAAGCCUAUGCAAAGACAGCCGGGUGUCCGGGUUCGAAUCCCGGCGGACGCA